rnacentral:lncRNA from 1 species
UCGACCCCUCUAGACUAUAUCCACCCUUUGUAUAGCCUAAUGUCAUCAAAAGACUAGAUAGGGACGGAUAUUUACCUUUUUUUUUGGAAAUCGAGGUCCUUGCGUAGAGGGGAAGGAGAUCUACGUUUUUCCCUUCAGCUGGAAGUGCAACCGGGAUCCCCCUCCUCCUCGAAUCUCCUUCCUUUUCUUCUUUCUUCUUCUUCUUCUUCUCCUUUUCUUUCCUUCUUUUCCUUCCUCUCUGUCCGUCUGAGACUCCCUCUCGGUUUCCAUCCAAAAGCCACAGCAAACCCCCUAAUUAAAUCACAUCAAAACACUAUUCACCCUUUGUUUAAUAUUAUUAAAUUUCCAUUUUGCCCCUAACACUUCAACAUAUCUACCGUUAUGCCAUUAACUUUUGAUUCCUUCCAAUUUUACCCUUACCACUUCAAUGCAUCUACAACUAUGCCAUUAUCUUUUGAUUCUUUCCUAUUUUACCCCUUAUAUUAAUUGAAAAGGACUAUUCUAUCCCUUUUUAUAUAAAAAAAAUAUUUUGGGGUUAUUAC